GGCCUAUUUCCCCGUGCGGGGAGGUGUCUGAUAUGGUGCCCCCCCUGCGCGGCUCCCUUACCGAUUCCUCCUCUUUCUCCAUCCCCGUGGGCAUCUGCGGCACAGCCCGGUUGAUGGAGACGCAGUCGUUGAGUGAUGUCCUGUGUUGCUUGCUGUGUGGACUGAGCCUUGAAGAGGUGUGAAGUUCUGCGUGCCACAAAAUUACGUGCUUCUUGUGUGCUAAAGACCUCUCUGUAGGUCUGGAUUUACUCAGGGAUAGCUGCAUGGUGUGUGCCCAUUGUCGCUCUUCCACUCUAGAAGCGCCUUCCUUCUGUUUGGUUUGCCUGUUUUCCAAGGAUAUAACACUAAACUGGAACAAGGCAUCCAGCUUGGAAAGAGUAAUCCAUGUGGACAAAGCUACAGUCCUCAGCCGAUUAAGAGCUUCCCACAUCAUGUUGUUGUACUGACUUUAGUCUGCGAAGCCCUUCAUCAAAGACUUUUAGUCCUUCAAACACCUCAUCACUUCCACAUUGCUUUGUCACCCUGAGACCGAGGCAGCUGCUUUUUCCCACCCUCACCACAGAGCUCUUACAAGAGUUGUCGGUGGUGUCUUCUGUCUCUGGAACAAACUGGAACUGUUCAGCAGGCAAAACUUGACCGUGUUACCAUCUGGACCACAGUGCCAACUGUAACCAAUAUUCCAUUAUUUUGAUUUAAAACAAGAAAAGGCUUGAUCAAAUAAGUUCAGUCUCUGAAUUGCUGUUCAUUUUUAGUUACCUUUGUUAUUUUUAUGGUUUUAUAUAGCAAAUGCAACUACUGUUCGUGAUAAACACAUGAUUUACAGAACAAAGAAUGAAGGACUGCAUCAGCUAGAGAGAGAGAGAUAAGGAAGACAAAACAAGUGCAGUAAUGCACAAAAGGGAAAAAACAAGCAGCAGUAACAUCACAGUCAUGAGCCGUGGACCUGAACUGACUUGGGAAAGAGAUCUGAAGUUAUAUUAGCUACUCCUGUAAAAGCACUAAGUUGGUGUACAGUGAUAGUCAUAUGAACAAGCGAAGCUUUAAAAAUUAUGAGAAAAGAAACAGAGAACAAAUCUGUGGUAGAUUGCACAGAUUUAUAAUUCCCUUUAAAUGUUGUUAUUCAUGAAGAGAGACAAUUCUUGGCUUGGAAUAGAACUAACAGGCUUUAUGUGGAACCACACCAUAAGGGAGUUCAGAGAGUUUGGUACCAAACUUGAUUAUAGCUGCCCCAGCUGCACAAGAGAUGCUUUCAACAACGUUUCUCUUCACACAAACACUUCAAAGCUGUCUAGUUUCUAGCUUAGAAUUUAUAAUUCAGCACCAUUUUAGAAGUGGCUGAACUCCUGACACCCAAAAUAAUUUUGAAUCCUCUAAAUUGAUUCACAAUUGAUCAGUACCAAGAGACAAUUGCUGUUUUCCAAAGAUUAAUGGUGAUGCACAUCUAGAUGAGCUCUGGAGCUCAGUUUUGCUGUGCAGCACCAACACAGAGUCAAAUUAAGCCACGGGCUCUUCCUGACCUGGAGACUCUGCAUUUUGUGCAGCCUCACAGCUCUCCAGAAUAAGUGAGUCCUGACAGCUCUGAGAAACUGGAAGUGGAAAUAAAGUGCUGUUUUGGCCAGAAAAAAAAGUGGUAGCAAGGGCAGUCACUGCAGCUCUCGGCAGCUCCGGAGUUAGGUUUGCAUCAUGAUGACUGAUCUAGCAAAAAGAGGAGCACUGUGAAUGUUCCUGCACCAGGCAACUCCCUGAAGUUGUCUUCUUUAUCAGCUACUUAAACAUGUGCCUGAAGUAACUGCUGAGCUGCAUUCAGCCUCACCUGCUGGGAGUCACCUUCCCGUCUUAGCAGAGACAUUUAAAAUUGUGCCUCAGCAUCAGCUUCCCCUGCAGUUGUUGACAAACAGCGCAUGAGGGGCGCGAAUUCCAGCCUCAACAAACAAAUACUCUUCCCCAUUCUCUUCGCUUCCCGCCCAACCAUAAAAAAAAAGACCUUUGGACUAAACAGAACCAGCUGAAGCUCGGCACGGGCUAGUUCUGUCCUGGUUGUUCUCAAGGGUGCUGCAGCUUCCACUGCUGGUGAGGUGUGCUUGACUCGUGUUGGUCUUGUAUUUUGACUUUUUUUACCAUCAGGAAAAAAACCAGCUUCACAAAGCAGCGACCGGUGAAGAGGAAAAGAAUGGCUAUGGCCGGAACCAGACAACUCCUGUUGUAAAUGGGACAUAACAAGGGUUGUAUUUAUACCAUUAACUUUUGGGAAAUACCAGCAGGCCUUGGAGAGAGAUUUACUCAGAUCUCAUUUAGGAAAAUCUAGCAGAGAGAAGCAUAAAACCCGAGUUUAUAAACAUAUACAAAUUUAUCCCAACGUCUCACAGCUCAGGAGGAAACCACAAGAUUUUUAUUGAUUUAUUUAUUUGCUAAAUCAAUGUGUUUUAAGGAGGUGUUAGCUCCCCAGCUUGUGUUAACUAAUUAAAACACAACCCCCCUCUGCUACUUAAAGUAGUGAAGGCAUUGACCUAAAGUAGACUCUGAAAACUCUUCCCCAGCAGGACGAGACGCUCCUUUUCCUCCUCAGAGCUUCAUCAUUCUGCUGACUUUUAGCAGAAGGUUAGAAGUGGGUCUGCUUUCUAAAAAUAAAUUUGCAGACGGCUGUAAAAGUAGGAAAUCAGGAAAUACAUAAAAUGUAACUUUUUAUAAAUGCUCCAAAAGUCAUGUGCUUACCUAAAACAAUAACUAACCUUGGCCAUUGCCGUCUUCUGGAAUAGAGACCCAGAUACAACGAUUUUUUCUUACUCAUUAAUACUGUCAACAUUUGCUCUGCCCAACUAGUUCUGAGGUUGGUAGGAUUAUUAUGGUUUUUUGAUAACGGGAUGGCCUACAUGGCACCAGGCUUAGAGGCUUCAGAUGGGAGCCACCUUUCUCAGAAGCGGAGGAGGGUCUUUGCCCGGGAGCUUGCGGGGCUUGUAGAUGGGGCUUUAAACUAGAGACGAAGGGGGAGGGGAAUAACAUCUUUUCGGUACACGAUGGGAGAUGAUGUGGUUGAGAGCAGCCCUGCAGAGAGGGACUUGGGGUGCUGGUUGAUAAGAAGCUUGACAUGAGCUGGCAACGUGCGCUCACGGCCCAGAAACCAACUGUGUCCUGGGCUGCAUCCAAAGCAGCGUGGCCAGCAGGGAGGGAGGGGAUUCUGCCCCUCUAUUGCUCUCUUGUGAGACCUCGUCUGGAAUACUGUGUCCAGCUCUGGAAUCCUCAACAUAAGAAGGAGAUGGAGGUGUUGGCACAGGUCCAGAGGUGGCUACAAAGAUGAUCGGAGGGCUGGAGCACCUUCCAUAGGAGGACAGGCUGAGAGAGUUGGGGUUGUUCAGCCUGGAGAA